rnacentral:rRNA from 1 species
GAUGAACGCUGGCGGCGUGCCUAAUACAUGCAAGUCGAGCGAACAGACGAGGAGCUUGCUCCUCUGACGUUAGCGGCGGACGGGUGAGUAACACGUGGAUAACCUACCUAUAAGACUGGGAUAACUUCGGGAAACCGGAGCUAAUACCGGAUAAUAUAUGGAACCGCAUGGUUCUAUAGUGAAAGACGGUUUUGCUGUCACUUAUAGAUGGAUCCGCGCCGCAUUAGCUAGUUGGUAAGGUAACGGCUUACCAAGGCGACGAUGCGUAGCCGACCUGAGAGGGUGAUCGGCCACACUGGAACUGAGACACGGUCCAGACUCCUACGGGAGGCAGCAGUAGGGAAUCUUCCGCAAUGGGCGAAAGCCUGACGGAGCAACGCCGCGUGAGUGAUGAAGGUCUUCGGAUCGUAAAACUCUGUUAUUAGGGAAGAACAAAUGUGUAAGUAACUAUGCACGUCUUGACGGUACCUAAUCAGAAAGCCACGGCUAACUACGUG